GUGGCAUUCCAACAAUGACGUCACUAUAAAAUAUAAUGUAGGUUGGAUAUAUUUAGAAUAUCUCGUCAUACAGAUUUUUCCAGAUUGUAAAAGAAACAUAAAUAGUGUAAAGGAGAGCUCAAUAUACGAUAAUUUCAAGAGAAACAGAAGGGAAAUGUGUAAAAAAGUGUUUACAGUCAAUCUAUUCAUUUGUGUCUCCCUUUCUCCAAGGACGUAUAUUAGUUAUAUGUCCUUGCUUUCUCAUCAAUCUCAGUAAGAUUUGUUGGGGGGUUUUCCACACUAUAAAAACAAAAUGAAUGAUGUGAGGGAAUGUCACUCUGGUCAACCCCAUUGGGGAUUGACGGCUUGAAGCCGUCUUCCCCAAAAAAUCAUUUUUAUU
rnacentral:lncRNA from 1 species